UGCAGAGUGCAGUGAUAGCAGAGGUGUUUGUUGUAAAAAGAACAGGGGAACUUAAAGCAUAAGCCAUCUCUGGGGAAGCCACUGUAAGGCUGCAAUCUGAAGCUGAACACCCGUGAUCUCCGAUCCUGCAGACAACACUGCAUCAAGAAUCGUCAUUCAUCUACAGCUGAGGUAGCCACAUGGACUCUGGAUUACUUUGAAGCACCAUUGAUUUCUCUGGGCUUGGCGGCAUCUAGGAUUGACCAUGACAUAAUGUGGUCAGACAAAUCAGUAUUCCAGGUGUUUUUUGGAAGAAAUGGAUUCCAUGUGCUCUGGACUGAAGAUGAAAAUGACCAUCCAGACCAGUAACAAUAGUGAUAGACCCUCAACAGGGAGUUUUUUCA